GUAGGGAAUAUUGGGCAAUGGUCGGAAGACUGACCCAGCCAUGCCGCGUGCAGGAAGACGGCCCUCUGGGUUGUAAACUGCUUUUAUCUGGGAAGAAAAAGGCCAUGCGUGGCAAAUUGCCGGUACCAGAUGAAUAAGCACCGGCUAACUCCGUGCCAGCAGCCGCGGUAAUACGGAGGGUGCGAGCGUUGUCCGGAUUUAUUGGGUUUAAAGGGUGCGUAGGCGGCUGAUUAAGUCAGCGGUGAAAGACUUCGGCUUAACCGGAGCAGUGCCGUUGAUACUGGUUGGCUUGAGUGUCGGAGGGGUACAUGGAAUUGAUGGUGUAGCGGUGAAAUGCAUAGAUACCAUCAGGAACACCGAUAGCGAAGGCAUUGUACUGGCCGACAACUGACGCUGAUGCACGAAAGUGUGGGGAGCAAACAGGAUUAGAAACCCCAGUAGUCC
rnacentral:rRNA from 1 species